GAUUAACGCUGGCGGCGUGCUUAACACAUGCAAGUCGAACGAAGUGGCGGAAGGGUGAGUAACGCGUGAGUAACCUGCCUUACACAAGGGGAUAGCCGUUGGAAAAGACCAAUAAUCCCCUAUGGUGUAAGAUGGAGUCGCGUCUGAUUAGCAAGGUGGUGAGGUAACGGCCCACCAAGGCAACGAUCAGUAGCUGGCUGUGGAGAGUGGACGGCAACAUUGGGACUGAGAGACGUGCCAGACUCUAGGGGAGGCAGCAGUGGUGAAGUAGGCACGAUGGGGGAAAGCCUGAUGCAGCGACGCCGCGUGAUUUAGAAGGCCGUCGGGUAGUAAAAAUCUUUUGUAUGCGAAGCAGUACCAUACGAAUAAGGACCGGCUAACUCCGUGCCAGCAGCCGCGGUAAUUC
rnacentral:rRNA from 1 species